rnacentral:rRNA from 1 species
UACGUAGGUGACAAGCGUUGUCCGGAUUUACUGGGCGUAAAGAGCGCGCAGGCGGUCGUGCAAGUCGCGUGUGAAAGCCCCCGGCUCAACUGGGGAGGGUCACGCGAUACUGCUCGACUUGAAGGCAGGAGAGGGAAGUGGAAUUCCCGGUGUAGUGGUGAAAUGCGUAGAUAUCGGGAGGAACACCAGUGGCGAAGGCGACUUCCUGGCCUGUUCUUGACGCUGAGGCGCGAAAGCUAGGGUAGCAAACGGG